AUGGAGUAUAGCCAAGUGGUAAGGCAUCGGUUUUUGGUACCAGCAUGCAAAGGUUCAAAUCCUUUUACUCCAGAUUAUGAACACCCGAUCGGAUCUGUCAAAAACGAGCUGACGACUACAGGGGAAGCGGCUGACUGCAGUCCUUGAGCCUAGCUAGGCGC
rnacentral:tRNA from 1 species